UACGUAGGGUGCAAGCGUUAAUCGGAAUUACUGGGCGUAAAGCGUGCGUAGGUGGCUUGUUAAGUCGGAUGUGAAAGCCCCGGGCUCAACCUGGGAACUGCAUCCGAUACUGACGAGCUUGGAGUUUGGAAGAGGGUGGUGGAAUUCCCGGUGUAGCGGUGAAAUGCGUAGAGAUCGGGAGGAACAUCAGUGGCGAAGGCGGCCACCUGGUCCAAAACUGACGCUGAUGCACGAAAGCGUGGGGAGCAAACAGG
rnacentral:rRNA from 1 species